rnacentral:rRNA from 1 species
GUGGGGAAUAUUGGACAAUGGGGGGAACCCUGAUCCAGCCAUGCUGCGUGUGUGAAGAAGGCCUUUUGGUUGUAAAGCACUUUAAGCGAGGAGGAGGCUACCGAGAUUAAUACUCUUGGAUAGUGGACGUUACUCGCAGAAUAAGCACCGGCUAACUCUGUGCCAGCAGCCGCGGUAAUACAGAGGGUGCAAGCGUUAAUCGGAUUUACUGGGCGUAAAGCGCGCGUAGGUGGCCAAUUAAGUCAAAUGUGAAAUCCCCGAGCUUAACUUGGGAAUUGCAUUCGAUACUGGUUGGCUAGAGUAUGGGAGAGGAUGGUAGAAUUCCAGGUGUAGCGGUGAAAUGCGUAGAGAUCUGGAGGAAUACCGAUGGCGAAGGCAGCCAUCUGGCCUAAUACUGACACUGAGGUGCGAAAGCAUGGGGAGCAAACAGGAUUAGAAACCCCAGUAGUCC